AGAAUCAACGCUGGCGGCGUGCCUAACACAUGCAAGUCGAGCGAGAAAGUGGAGCAAUCCAUGAGUAAAGCGGCGCACGGGUGAGUAACACGUGACUAACCUACCCUCGAGUGGGGAAUAACUUCGGGAAACCGAGGCUAAUACCGCAUAACACCCACGGGUCAAAGGAGCAAUCCGCUUGAGGAGGGGGUCGCGGCCGAUUAGUUAGUUGGCGGGGUAACGGCCCACCAAGACGAUGAUCGGUA
rnacentral:rRNA from 1 species